rnacentral:rRNA from 1 species
AUUGAACGCUGGCGGCAUGCUUUACACAUGCAAGUCGAACGGCAGCGGGGUAGUGCUUGCACUACUGUCCGGCGAGUGGCGAACGGGUGAGUAAUAUAUCGGAACGUACCGAGUAAUGGGGGAUAACCAAUCGAAAGAUUGGCUAAUACCGCAUACGUCCUACGGGAGAAAGCGGGGGAUCGCAAGACCUCGCGUUAUUCGAGCGGCCGAUAACUGAUUAGCUAGUUGGUGGGGUAAAGGCCUACCAAGGCGACGAUCAGUAGCGGGUCUGAGAGGACGAUCCGCCACACUGGGACUGAGACACGGCCCAGACUCCUACGGGAGGCAGCAGUGGGGAAUCUUGGACAAUGGGGGCAACCCUGAUCCAGCCAUGCCGCGUGUAUGAAGAAGGCCUUCGGGUUGUAAAGUACUUUUGUUAGGGAAGAAAAGGGAAGUGCUAAUACCACUUUUUGCUGACGGUACCUAAAGAAUAAGCACCGGCUAACUACGUGCCAGCAGCCGCGGUAAUACGUAGGGUGCGAGCGUUAAUCGGAAUUACUGGGCGUAAAGCGAGCGCAGACGGUUAUUUAAGCAGGAUGUGAAAUCCCCGGGCUUAACCUGGGAACUGCGUUCUGAACUGGAUAGCUAGAGUGUGUCAGAGGGGGGUAGAAUUCCACGUGUAGCAGUGAAAUGCGUAGAGAUGUGGAGGAAUACCGAUGGCGAAGGCAGCCCCCUGGGAUAACACUGACGUUCAUGCUCGAAAGCGUGGGUAGCAAACAGG